GCGCCCGCCCCCGCCCGGCACCGCGGACCCACCCGGACCUCGGCGGGGAGAUGGAGGUCCUGGCGGCAGAGACCACGUCCCAGCAAGAGCGGCUGCAGGCCAUCGCGGAGAAGCGGAAGCGGCAGGCGGAGAUCGAGAACAAGCGCCGGCAGCUGGAGGACGAGCGGAGGCAGCUGCAGCACCUGAAGUCCAAGGCACUGCGGGAGCGUUGGCUGCUGGAGGGGACGCCGUCCUCGGCCUCAGAGGGGGAUGAGGACCUGAGGAGGCAGAUGCAGGACGACGAGCAGAAGACACGGCUGCUGGAGGACUCGGUGUCCAGGUUGGAGAAGGAAAUUGAGGUGCUGGAGCGUGGAGACUCCGCCCCAGCCGCUGCCAAGGAGAACGCGGCGGCCCCGAGCCCCGUCCGGGCCCCAGCCCCGAGUCCAGCCAAGGAGGAGCGCAAGACAGAGGUGGUGAUGAAUUCACAGCAGACGCCGGUGGGCACGCCCAAAGGUAGGACUUCUGGAAGGAACUCGUGGGGCCUCGGCGCACUCUGGUGGCCAGAGAGGGGAUGGCAGGGCAGGGAGUGAAGCUACAAAGUUGCUCGGUGCCUCACGCCUGUGAUCCCAGCACUUUGGGAGGCCGAGGCGGGUAGAUCUCCUGAGGUCAGGAGUUCGAGACCAGCCUGACCAACAUGGCGAAACUCAGUGUCUACUGAAAAAAUGCAAAGACAAUCAGCCGGGUGUGGUGGCUCAUGCCUGUAAUCCCAGCACUUUGGGAGGCUGAGGCAGGAGGAUCGCUUGAGCCCAGGAGUUCAAGAGCAUGCUGGGCAACGCAGGGAGACCCUGUCUCUGCCAAACAUAAAAAAAUUAGCCACCGGCCAGGCCCAGUGGCUCAGGCCUGUAACCCCAGCGCUCUGGGAGGUUGAGACAGGUGGAUCCCUUGAGGUCAGGAGUUCAAGACCAGCCUGGCCAACAUAGUGAAACCCCAUCUCUACUAAAAAUUCAAAAAAAUUAGCCGGGUGUGCUGCGCACCUGUAGUCCCAGCUGCUCGGGAGGCUGAGGUGGGAGGAUCACUUGAGCCCAGGAGGUUGAGCUGUGAUCGCACCACUGCACCCCAGCCUGGGAGACAGAGCGAGACCCUGUCUGUAAACUGCAUUUCACGGAACGUGUCCGCUUCUGUAUCGAUAGCGGGACAGCCACCAGCCGGGAUUGACACUGGCGCCUGAAGUGCUUCUGGCCUGGUUUGUCGUGUGUUAAUUAUUCAUAAGGAGAGUGUCUCCUUGUCUUACUGUAGAAUUAAAAAUUAAUCAUUAAAAAAUCCAGACAGGCCUCUCAGGGAUUUUGUGAAAAUCACUGGGCUGA
rnacentral:sRNA from 1 species